GACCUCUGAACGUCAGGGUCGCACGUUGUGGAGGGGGCGGGGAGUAGCUGAAACCUGUACGUAGCUGGAAGGUUUUCUCCGGCUGCCAGAACAGGAAGGAACCUCAAUGGGGCUAUUGCAGUUUCUUCCUACGUUGUCGUGGCAGGGUCUGGUGCCAAGAUAGAACCCACGAGUAACACGAGGAGCCCUCUACCCAGCCGUACUAUCAUAUUUUCUUGGUGUUUCUCUUAGAGCUGUUGAUUCCACAGGUUUGUGUCUUGAUACCUUGAUGUGAAAUGUCAACAAGAAUUCUGGUCUUUGUUCCUGCAACAAAAACUUAGAGAAGAAUUAUCAGCGAGAAUGGCCGUAUCUCCAGUGAAUGGACCCCAGGGGCACCAGGAUAUGUGCAUACUGACUACCCAAAGUACUGGAUUCAUCCUUGGUGGAUAGACCAGCAAGGAACCUGAAGAUGUCCAGGUCUUUAGACUUCUUGAAGAUGAGUAUUUCUAAUUUCCUGCAAAGACAAAAACAGAAUCCUGCCUGACCCU